rnacentral:ncRNA from 2 species
GGUAGAGUAGGGUUAAGGCGUUAAGUGCUAGAAAAUGGGAUGUUGUUUCUAGACGAAAGAUUUUAACCUGCAUCCGCUACA